UACGAAGGGGGCUAGCGUUGCUCGGAAUCACUGGGCGUAAAGCGCACGUAGGCGGAUUGUUAAGUCAGGGGUGAAAUCCUGGAGCUCAACUCCAGAACUGCCUUUGAUACUGGCGAUCUUGAGUCCGGGAGAGGUGAGUGGAACUGCGAGUGUAGAGGUGAAAUUCGUAGAUAUUCGCAAGAACACCAGUGGCGAAGGCGGCUCACUGGCUCGGUACUGACGCUGAGGUGCGAAAGCGUGGGGAGCAAACAGGG
rnacentral:rRNA from 1 species